ACAAGUAGGAAUUUAAUUUUGGUUCCGAUUGAACGUUUUUCAGUAGUUUCAAGACAUGCAAAUCGUUUGUAUAUGGUUAAGAAGUUUAAAGUUAAAAACUAAAACAAUUUAAAUAUACAAGGUGUAGGGGUGAGUAUAGUAAAUAAGAUACCCUCGUAAUCUUCCUAAAUAGAAGAUAGUUAAACAAAGGUAAACUUUAAAUUAAGAUUUGCUGCAAGUUUUUUUGCAGGGGUCUAACAAAGGAAAUUUUCCGUUACAAGGAUUCGAUUUACAUUUGAUUAGGUAGUUGGCAGAGUAAAAGCCUCCCAAGCCUACGAUCAAUAGUCAAGUUUGACAGAACUAAUGACCACAUUGGGAAUGAGAUCUCCCAAGUAGCGUUUUGCUACCAGCAGUCAAGAAUAUUAGUCAAUGCUCGCAAGAGUGAACUAGCUAACUGAAAUCCUUAAUGUGUCAUUGAGGAUAACGUAAGGGAAAAUAAUGAUACUACCUUACUAUUAGUGUCGUCCAAGUGCUCGUGCCAGAAGACUCGGUAAGGCGAGAGACGCAAACGUUAUUCGUCUUGAUCAGGCGUAAAGGGUAAGUAGGCUGCUUUAAGUGUAAAAUUAUAUGUUUACUAUUAUUAACAAUUGUUUAAUAAUAAUGUAAUUAUACCGAUUAAAGCUAGAAUCUAAAGGAGGUUAAAACAAUACUCAAGGUAGGUGUACCAACCGUAGAUAAUGAGCAGAGUGUUAACGGCGAAGGCAUUUUUCCAAUAAAGAUUGACGCUGAGGAACGAAAGUGAGGACAGAAAAAAGGAUUAGAGACCCUUGUAUCCCUCACUGUCAACGAUGAAUGGUAGUUACUAGGAAAGAAAUAAUCUAGAGACGAUGUUAACACGUAAACCAUUCCGCCUUGUGAGUACGACUGCAAAGUUGAAAACAAAAAAAUUAGUCGGUUUCGGAGCAAACGAAGUGAAGCAUGUUAUUUAAUGCGAUAAUCCGCGUAAAACCUUACCAGUUCUUGUAUAAAAACUUUUAGUUAUUAAUUUAACACGUUUCCUUUCUCAAAGGUAAAAGGGGUAACUUUGUCAAUUAUUCUACCUGUGUUACACGGGCUAGCAAAUAGUUACAGGUACUUAAUACAGGUGUUGCAUGGCUGUCUUCAGUCCGUAUUGUGAAAAGUUAGGUUAAAUCCGUUAACGGACGCAAUCCCUAGUCUUAAUUUAAACUUAAGGCUUUAUAACUUUGAUAAGAAGUUAUUUGGGGCUAAGACAAGCCCUUAUGGCCCUCAUGAACUGGGCUAUAGACGUGCUAUAAAGACUUUCACAAAGUGAAGCAAAACUUCUCUUUUUAAAGAGGUAAAGGAUAAGCUAAUCAUUAAAAAAAGUCAAAAUAAUAAAUUAAUGUUACGGAUUGUCACCUGAAACUUGGUGGCAUGAAGGAGGAAUUUCGAGUAAUCGUUGAUCAUUAGGCGCAACGGUGAAGCUUAAAUCCGGGAUGAACUAACCGUCUGUCGCUGGGAAGAAGCUUAUUUUGAUGGAAAAUAUGUUGAAGUAAUAAAUUUAAUAUAGUGCGCUGCACACCCCUACCCCAAAGGGGCUUGCGAUGGUUUUAUAUACAAAUAUAUAAAAGUAGUUAAUAUAUUAAUUGUUAUUAGACUUAUUUAAGUCAUUUGAGUAACAUCUCAAAAGUCAUAGCAAGGUAGUUGUACUGGAAGGUGCAGCUGGAAAUUUAAUAAA
rnacentral:rRNA from 1 species